CAGUCGCCGCGGGAAUACAGAGGGUGCGAGCGUUAAUCGGAUUUACUGGGCGUAAAGCGUGCGUAGGCGGCUAAUUGAGUCGGAUGUGAAAUCCCCGAGCUUAACUUGGGAAUUGCAUUCGAUACUGGUUAGCUAGAGUGUGGGAGAGGAUGGUAGAAUUCCAGGUGUAGCGGUGAAAUGCGUAGAGAUCUGGAGGAAUACCGGUGGCGAAGGCGGCCCCCUGGACAAAGACUGACGCUCAGGUGCGAAAGCGUGGGGAGCAAACAGGAUUAGAUACCCGAGUAGUCCCUGUCUCUUAUAC
rnacentral:rRNA from 1 species